GUAGUUAAGUUCUAAUCCUAUAUGUUUUAUGUGCAUUAGUUCAGAAUUUUAUGUUGUGGUUUCUGGUCUAUGAACAUCAGUAUGGAAUGAUGUUAUUUUUUCCCUACUCUUAUAAAUAGUAGAAAAUAAUAAUAAUAAUAAUAAUAAUAAUAAUAAUAAUAAUUGUCAUAAUUCCAAAAACACAUGUGGAAGGGAAAAGGUAGGUGUAAGUUUUUGGAGUAAGUAUGUGGCUCCCGGU
rnacentral:lncRNA from 1 species